AAUCAACGCUGGCGGCGUGCCUCAGACAUGCAAGUCGAACGAUUAAGACUUCCUUCGGGAAGUGCAUAAAGUGGCGCACGGGUGAGUAACACGUAAGUAAUCUACCCUCGAGUGGGGAAUAACGUUCGGAAACGAACACUAAUACCGCAUAAUGCAGCGGCAUCGCAAGAUGACAGUUGUUAAAGGUGUAAUUCGCUUGAGGAGGAGCUUGCGGCAGAUUAGCUAGUUGGUAAGGUAACGGCUUACCAAGGCUACGAUCUGUAUCCGGUCUAAGAGGACGGUCGGACACACUGACACUGAAUAACGGGUCAGACUCCUACGGGAGGCAGCAGUCGGGAAUUUUGGGCAAUGGGCGAAAGCCUGACCCAGCAACGCCGCGUGAAGGAUGAAGUAUUUCGGUAUGUAAACUUCGAAAGAAUGGGAAGAAUAAAUGACGGUACCAUUUAUAAGCUCCGGCUAACUACGUGCCAGCCGCCGCGGUAACAC
rnacentral:rRNA from 1 species